rnacentral:rRNA from 1 species
AACGAACGCUGGCGGCAGGCCUAACACAUGCAAGUCGAACGAAGUCUUCGGACUUAGUGGCGGACGGUUAGUAACGCGUGGGAACGUGCCUUUACUUCGGAAUAGUCCGGGAAACUGGGUUUAAAUACCGAAUACGCCCUUUGGGGGAAAGAUUUAUCGGUAAAGGAUCGGCCCGCGUUGGAUUAGGUAGUUGGUGGGUAAUGGCCUACCAAGCCGACGAUCCAUAGCUGGUUUGAGAGGAUGAUCAGCAACACUGGGACUGAGACACGGCCCAGACUCCUACGGGAGGCAGCAGUGGGGAAUCUUAGACAAUGGGGCAACCCUGAUCUAGCCAUGCCGCGUGAGU